GAUGAACGCUGGCGGCGUGCCUAAUACAUGCAAGUCGAGCGAACAGACGAGGAGCUUGCUCCUCUGACGUUAGCGGCGGACGGGUGAGUAACACGUGGAUAACCUACCUAUAAGACUGGGAUAACUUCGGGAAACCGGAGCUAAUACCGGAUAACAUGUUGAACCGCAUGGUUCAACAGUGAAAGACGGUUUUGCUGUCACUUAUAGAUGGAUCCGCGCCGCAUUAGCUAGUUGGUAAGGUAACGGCUUACCAAGGCAACGAUGCGUAGCCGACCUGAGAGGGUGAUCGGCCACACUGGAACUGAGACACGGUCCAGACUCCUACGGGAGGCAGCAGUAGGGAAUCUUCCGCAAUGGGCGAAAGCCUGACGGAGCAACGCCGCGUGAGUGAAGAAGGUCUUCGGAUCGUAAAACUCUGUUAUUAGGGAAGAACAAGUGUGUAAGUAACUAUGCACGUCUUGACGGUACCUAAUCAGAAAGCCACGGCUAACUACGUG
rnacentral:rRNA from 1 species